UGUGAUAUAUAGAGGACAGGAUAAGGGGUGUGUGAUAUAUAGAGGACAGAGUAAGGGGUAUGUGAUAUAUAGAGACAGAGUAAGGGGUGUGUGAUAUAUUGAGACAGAGUAAGGGGGUGUGAUAUAUUGAGGACAGAGUAAGGGGUGUGUGAUACAUUGAGGACAGAGUAAGGGGUGUGUGAUAUAUAGAGACAGAGUAAGAGGUGUGUGAUAUAAAGAGACAGAGUAAGGGGUGUGUGAUAUAUAGAAACAGAGUAAGGGGUGUGUGAUAUUUAGAGACUGAGUAAGGGGUGUGUGAUAUAUAGAGACGGAGUAAUGUGUGUGUGAUAUAUUGAGGACAGAGUAAGGUGUGUGUGAUAUAUAGAGGACAGAGUUAGAGGUGUGUGAUAUAUAGAGACAGAGUAAGGGGUGUGUGAUAAAUAGAGACAGAGUAAGGGGUGUGUGAUCAAUAGAGACAGAGUAAGGGGUGUGUGAUAAAUAGAAGCAGAGUAAGGCGUGUGUGAUAUUUAGAGUACAGAGUAAGGCGUGUAUGAUAUAUAGAGUACAGAGUAAGGGGUGUGUGAUAUAUAGAGACAGAGUAAGGGGUGUGUGAUAUAUAGAGUACAGAGUAAAGGGUGUGUGAUAUAUUGAGGACAGAGUAAGGGGUAUGUGAUAUAUAGAGGACAGGGUAAGGGGUGUGUGAUAUUUAGAGUACAGAGUAAGGGGUGUGUGAUAUAUAGAGACAGAGUAAGGGGUGUGUGAUAU